GUUGGGUAGGGGAGCGUUCUGUAAGCCUGCGAAGGUGUACUGUGAGGUAUGCUGGAGGUAUCAGAAGUGCGAAUGCUGACAUAAGUAACGAUAAUGCGGGUGAAAAACCCGCACGCCGGAAGACCAAGGGUUCCUGUCCAACGUUAAUCGGGGCAGGGUGAGUCGACCCCUAAGGCGAGGCUGAAAAGCGUAGUCGAUGGGAAACGGGUUAAUAUUCCCGUACUGGUGGUAACUGCGAUGGGGGAACGGAGAAGGCUAGGUUGUCCGGGCGACGGUCGUCCCGGUUCAAGCAGGUAGGCAGAGUGAUUAGGCAAAUCCGGUCACUUAAUGCUGAGAUGUGAUGACGAGCCACCAAGGUGGUGAAGCAAUUGAUGCCCCGCUUCCAGGAAAAGCCUCUAAGCUUCAGGUUACCAACAAUCGUACCCCAAACCGACACAGGUGGUCAGGUAGAGAAUACUCAGGCGCUUGAGAGAACUCGGGUGAAGGAACUAGGCAAAAUGGUGCCGUAACUUCGGGAGAAGGCACGCUGGCGGUAGGUAAAGUCCCUUGCGGACGGCGCUGAAGCCAGUCGAAGAUACCAGCUGGCUGCAACUGUUUAUUAAAAACACAGCACUGUGCAAACACGAAAGUGGACGUAUACGGUGUGACGCCUGCCCGGUGCUGGAAGGUUAAUUGAUGGGGUUAGCGCAAGCGAAGCUCCUGAUCGAAGCCCCAGUAAACGGCGGCCGUAACUAUAACGGUCCUAAGGUAGCGAAAUUCCUUGUCGGGUAAGUUCCGACCUGCACGAAUGGCGUAAUGAUGGCCAGGCUGUCUCCACCCGAGACUCAGUGAAAUUGAACUCGCUGUGAAGAUGCAGUGUACCCGCGGCAAGACGGAAAGACCCCGUGAACCUUUACUAUAGCUUGACACUGAACAUUGAGCCUUGAUGUGUAGGAUAGGUGGGAGGCUUUGAAGUGUGGACGCCAGUCUGCAUGGAGCCAACCUUGAAAUACCACCCUUUAACGUUUGAUGUUCUAACCUAGGCCCAUAAACUGGGUCGGGGACCGUGUCUGGUGGGUAGUUUGACUGGGGCGGUCUCCUCCUAAAGAGUAACGGAGGAGCACGAAGGUUGGCUAAGCAUGGUCGGACAUCAUGCGGUUAGUGCAAAGGCAUAAGCCAGCUUGACUGCGAGAGUGACGGCUCGAGCAGGUACGAAAGUAGGUCUUAGUGAUCCGGUGGUUCUGAAUGGAAGGGCCAUCGCUCAACGGAUAAAAGGUACUCCGGGGAUAACAGGCUGAUACCGCCCAAGAGUUCAUAUCGACGGCGGUGUUUGGCACCUCGAUGUCGGCUCAUCACAUCCUGGGGCUGAAGUAGGUCCCAAGGGUAUGGCUGUUCGCCAUUUAAAGUGGUACGCGAGCUGGGUUUAGAACGUCGUGAGACAGUUCGGUCCCUAUCUGCCGUGGGCGUUGGAAGAUUGAGAGGGGUUGCUCCUAGUACGAGAGGACCGGAGUGAACGCACCACUGGUGUUCGGGUUGUCAUGCCAAUGGCAUUGCCCGGUAGCUAAGUGCGGAAGAGAUAACCGCUGAAAGCAUCUAAGCGGGAAACUUGCCUCGAGAUGAGUCUUCCCUGUCGCUUUAAGCGACCUAAAGGAACGUUUAAGACUAAGACGUUGAUAGGCUGGGUGUGUAAGCGUAGCGAUACGUUGAGCUAACCAGUACUAAUGAACCGUGAGGCUUAACCUG
rnacentral:rRNA from 1 species